rnacentral:lncRNA from 1 species
GCUUGUUGCUGCAUUGUUGGUUAGCGCCACCGUGGCUCGGUCUCCGUUACCUUCUCCCGCUGCUGCUCCUACAACUCCAAAAACUCCUUCUCCGGCGGCUUCUCCAACUGCUAACUCACCGGCGGUGUCUCCUCCUACUCCGGUUGUGAGCGGUCCUUCACCUUCACCUUCCGCCGUUGUAAACUCUCCUCCAUCUCCUCCUCCUGCUACGUCUAACUCUCCCGCUAGUACACCUUCCGCUGCCACCCCGUCAUCGAUUUCUGAUACUCCAUCUUCAACUCCGGGUGAAGCACCAAGCCAAAACGGCGCCGCGUCGAACAGAUUCGCUUUCGCUGGAUCUGUUGCUGUUGUAGGUUUCGCUGUUGCUUUAAUGAUAUAGAGAGAGUUACUUAUGUUUUUUAGUUUUAUCUUUAUUUUAUUAUUAUUAUUAUCACGAAUUACGAUUUCAUGUCAUGAAUCGUUGGCUCGUGUAGUUCAAUUUUUUGGUUUUAUGUCUUCACGGUGUGGCGACUCAUUCUUUUGAUUAUUUUGUGAAUCUUAUUUAUAAUUUACUAGAUUGAAGGUUUCCUCCUCCAUCUCCUCCUCCUGCUACGUCUAACUCUCCCGCUAGUACACCUUCCGCUGCCACCCCGUCAUCGAUUUCUGAUACUCCAUCUUCAACUCCGGGUGAAGCACCAAGCCAAAACGGCGCCGCGUCGAACAGAUUCGCUUUCGCUGGAUCUGUUGCUGUUGUAGGUUUCGCUGUUGCUUUAAUGAUAUAGAGAGAGUUACUUAUGUUUUUUAGUUUUAUCUUUAUUUUAUUAUUAUUAUUAUCACGAAUUACGAUUUCAUGUCAUGAAUCGUUGGCUCGUGUAGUUCAAUUUUUUGGUUUUAUGUCUUCACGGUGUGGCGACUCAUUCUUUUGAUUAUUUUGUGAAUCUUAUUUAUAAUUUACUAGAUUGAAGGUUUCUUUUUUAUUCUUCAGUUAUCUCUGAUCUAUUGUUGUCUUUUUUUGGUUCUUUAAAGUUGUAAUAUGGAUAUGAUGAUGACCUAAAUCGUUAAUGUGUUUUCAAUCAUAAUUUGGCUAAUAAUUUUCUAACAGAAGUAAGAAUUAUUUAAAAUUUAACAAUCAAUGGUUUAUUUGAUCAAGACUUGGC